rnacentral:tRNA from 1 species
GGGGGUGUAGCUCAGUCUGGUUAGAGCGCUGGCCUGUCACGCCAGAGGUCGCGAGUUCGAGUCUCGUCACUCCC